CCCUUAGAUGUUCUGGGCCGCACGCGCGCUACACUGAUGCAUUCAACGAGUUUCUUCCUGGUCCGAGAGGAAUGGGUAACCUUUUGAAAGUGCAUCGUGAUAGGGAUAGACUAUUGCAAUUAUUGGUCUUCAACGAGGAAUUCCUAGUAGACGUAGUUCAUCAGACUGCAUCGAUUACGUCCCUGCCCUUUGUACACACCGCCCGUCGCUCCUACCGAUUGAAUGGUCCGGUGAAAUCUUCGGAUUGAGACUUUGAUUUCUUCACGGAAAACGCUGUUUUAAAAAGUUGAUUAAACCUUACCAUUUAGAGGAAGGUGAAGUCGUAACA
rnacentral:rRNA from 1 species